ACACCUGGGAAAUCUGGCCAGAAGCUGGGAAUAACACUUGGAAAGAGGUGCUAAUACCUUAUAACAACAAAAUCCGCAUGGAUUUUGAUUGAAACGUGCCUUCGGCUAUCACUUCUGAAUGAUCCCGCGCCGUAUUAGUUAGUUGGUGAGGUAAAGGGCCAACAAGACGAUGAUACGUAGCCGACUUGAGAGGGUAAUCGGGCACAUUGGGACUGAGACACGGCCCAAAGUCCUAAGGGAGGCAGCAGUAGGGAAACUUCCACAAUGGACGUAAGUCUGAUGGAGCAAUGGCGCGUGAGUGAAGAAGGGUUUCGGCUCGUUUAACUCUGUUGUUAAGGAAGAACACCUUUGAGAGUAACUGUUCAAAGGUUGACGGUAUUUAACCAGAAUGCCACGGCUAACUACGCGCCAGCAGCGGCGGUAAUACGUAGGUGGCAAGCGUUGUCCGGAUUUAUUGGGCGUAAAGCGUGCGCAGGCGGUUUUUUAAGUCUGAUGUGAAAGCCUUCGGCUUAACCGGAGAAGUGCAUCGGAAACUGGGAGACUUGAGUGCAGAAGAGGACAGUGGAACUCCAUGUGUAGCGGUGGAAAGCGUAGAUAUAUGGGAGAUCACCAGUGGCGAAUGCGGCUGUCUAGUCUGUAACUGACGCUGAGGCUCGAAAGCAUGGGUAGCGAACAGGAUUAGAUACCCUGGUAGUCCAUGCCGUAAACGAUGAGUGCUAAGUGUUGGAGCGUUUCCGCCGUUCAGUGCUGCAGCUAACGCAUUAAGCACUCCGCCUGGCGAGUACGACCGCAAGGUUGGAACUCAAAGGAAUUGACGGGGGCCCGCACAAGCGGUGGAGCAUGUGGUUAAAUUCGAAGCUACGCGAAGAACCUUACCAGGUCUUGAUAUCUUCUGCCAAUCUUAGUGAUAAGACGUUCCCUUCCGGGUCAGAAUGACAGGUGGAGCAUGGUUGUCGACAGCUCGUGUCGUGAGAUGUUGGGUUAAGUCCCGGAACGAGCGGAACCCUUAUUAUCAGUUGCCUGCAUUCAGUUGGGCACUCUGGUGAGACAGCCGGUGACAAAGGGGAGGUUGGUGGGGAUGUCGUCAAAUCAUCAUGCCCCAUAUGACCUCGGCUACACUCGUGCUACAAUGGACGGAACAACGAGUCGGGAAGUCGUGAGGCUAAGCUAAUCUCUUAAAGCCGUUCUCA
rnacentral:rRNA from 1 species